AUUCUUCAAUGUGUCUGCAUAACAAACUAUUCCAAAACUUAGAAUCAUAAACAAUAAGCAUUUCUGAUCUCUCGCAGUUGCUGUGGGUCAGGAAUUUGAAAGCAAUUAGCUGAGCGGUUGGGGCCGCUGUCUCAUCUAAAGGUGUGACAGGGCUGCAGCUGCCCCCAGGCCCGCCCCACCACCAUCUCCUUCCCUCCCAGGGAGCCCAGGCAGCCUCCAUCUCCUUCUUUGCACUGCCCUGUGCUGUCUUGCAGCCACCCUUUCAGCCCUGUGUCCUUCCUGCAGCCCCUACCCUGCUGUCCACUUCUCCGGAAGCCCUCUUCACCCUAGCCUUGGGACCUGCUCACUCCUCCUCCAGCCCUGCACUCCUGCUUGGAGCCCUGGGAUACCAGAGAGGCAGGGAGCCUUGUUUCCGCUCUGGGGGGUGGUGCGAGUCCAGGUUUCUUACCUUCUCUGCCACUGUGUGGCAGGUGCUGAGCGAGCAUCUUGCCACAGAAGCACCUGAGAAUGCUGACCACAGAAAUGGGCUGUAAUAAGUAGAGCUUAGCUCUAACACGAAUUAGGCAGGUGUGUGCUGGCUGCUCCAGAAACUCACUGGCCCAGAGAUUGUUUCAGUGAGAACUUGCAUUCUAGGUUCCCACCCAUCCCUAAAGACAGUCAUGGGUCAGUUCCCCAUUGAGCAGGCACAUGGUGGACCCUCUGCAUUGAGGGAAUUCACGUGGCCUCUGACUCCCCUACUUGGCUUCCUUCCCCUAAGAUCCUCUGUCCCUGCUUGUCCAAGAGGAAUCAUAGUUAUACAAUAAUUAGUAAUAACAAGGACACGUAUUGAGCAUUGAUCUGAUACCAGAAACUCUUCUAUUUUACACUCAAUUCUGAUAACAUCUCUAUCAAGUAGACAUUGCUAUUAUCUCCAUGUUCUCAGAUGGGGGACUGAGGCACAGGGAAGAUAAGUAGUCUGGCCACAUCACACAGCUCUGGAGCCAGGACUCACACCCAAAACAUCUGAAAAUAGAGCCAAGAGCGGGUUGUAUUGCGAGCUUUGGUGGCCCCAGCCUCUGCUCCCUCUUCUGACUUCUCGCACAGGACAUUUCUCACCGUUAAUCUUGGUGAGUGAGACUGUGGGUGAAAUGUCCUGUCACAACAGGACAUCCUGCUUGGCCAGUUGGACUUUCUGGGAAGUGUGGAUUUCCAGUAAGCCAUCUGGGGACUUCAGGCCUUUCCUGGAGAUUUACCUCCACAGCAGAAGGGAUCCUUCAUCAGCAAUUGCUUCAGGGACCCCAGCAGCCCUAGCCCCUCCCUUCCCCAGGAGCUUCUCUUGGGGUUUCUGAGCCUGACCCCAACCCACUUCUUUCCAUCACAUCCUUUUCUUCUGGAAGUGGGCCAGAAUCCAUUUCUGUUGCAUGCAACCAGAUGCAAGCUGAGCUGUGUCUUCAGAAGAGUGGAAAGAAGGGGAGAGCAGGGAGAAAGAGCCUCUCCACCCAGAAGCUGCAGGGAGGCGAGGAGGGCAGAGCCCCGCUCAGCCUGAGUCGCUGACACUAAAGAUGUUCCUGACAUACCAAGGCCCUCCGUCAAGUCUCAGUGAAGAAACGAAAUGAACCGUGCAUGCCUGAAAAGUAAAGAUACUCACACAGCUAUGACAGGUGUUUGUGGUGUGCUCCACAACCUUUCAGGGCUGGAAAUUACACAUUUCUUCUCUUUUUGAGAUCAAAUAAGUUUGGCCCAGCAGCUCUUGGCUUUCCAGGACUACCACAGGCCCCUCUGGGGUUUUCGAAGAACACUGAGGCCUGGCAAUUUGAAGAAGGGUCACUGGUCCCCACUCCUCCAGGCUGCUGUUGCUGGCGUGUCCUGCCCAUGCAGGAGUAGCCCUGGGAAGUGGGUGCCCUUGGGCACGCUACUGAUGUUCCCGCCAAGCCCUCCGGGUGUGCCUCUGUCCCCCUGGGGAGCUGAGUUUGGCUGAGAGCCCCUGAUGCCACCUGCCUCUGCCCCUACCCCAGUUCUGGCAGCAGCUUCCCCCUUCCCUUGGGGCACCUGCUCCUCCUCCCUCCCUGACUUGGGUUUGAAUCUUGAUGAAACAGCUGGCUGACUAGGGACACGUGUGCCUUACCUCCCUUCACCUCAGCUUCCUCCUCUGUAAGAUAAGGACCCUAAUGCCAUGUGGCAGGUUGUGAGAGGAUUAAAUAAGGAAAUGCACUUCAAGUGUUUAGCUUAGAGUCUGGGGCCUAAGAUGUGGUCAGUUAAUGUUAGUUAAAAUGAAACCAAGGAAACCCCAGCUGUGCAGGACAGACAUGAUUAGGAGGGAGCAGGCAUGCCUGCUACGGGCAGGUCAGAGGUGGCUUGGGGUCAGCGAGUCGACUUCCUGGAGGAGGUGGUCCUGGAAGGACAGAUGGGAUUUGAAUGAGGCACAAGGGUGGACAGCUCCAGGACCAGGGGUCAGCCUGGCAUCCCUCACCUGGAAGGUCAGCUGGGAGGUAGUGGAGGUGGAGUGCUUUCCGGCGUGGAAGGUACUGGCUGGCCCGGUGGGGGUGUUCUGACUCUGCAGAGGGGGAGUGUCAUCCCCAGCUCAGACGCUGUUGUGAUGUCACCGGCAGCACCCAGCACUUCCCCACCUUUGCCCUCUAGGGUGGGUGAGCUGCAACACAGGUUGCAGUGGCCCAGGGGGAGGGGAUCAUAGACCAUAGACUGCCCUGGACUUGGGCUGUUUCCAGUGUGGGGCUACCGGGAACAAAGCUGCUAUGAAACUUUGUGUGCAAGUCUGUGUGUGUGUGUGUGUGUGUGUGUGUGAGAGAGAGAGAGAGAGAGGACUUCCAUUUCUCUUGGGUAAGCACUAGGAGUGGACUUGCUCAAUCAGACGUGACUAAUGUUUACUUGUACCUUGUACAGGAAAUUGCUGGGAAGUCUCUUGAGAGCAGUGACCAUUUCCCAUUCCCGAUAACCGCAUGUGGGGGUCCUACACCAACCCACCACAACCUCACCGAUGCCGAGCGCUGUUGCGCAUUCACACUCCGGUCACUCUCGUGGGUGUGCCGUGGCACCUUCAUGUGGUUUGAAUCUGCACGUUCCUGUAGGUGAACCGUGCUGAGCCUUUCUUCAUGUGCUUAUUGGCCAAGGGUGUUCAUUCCUUUGUGAAGAAUGUGUUCAAAUCUUUUGCUCAUUAAAAAAAAUUCGUUGUUGGU
rnacentral:lncRNA from 10 species